AGAGUUUGAUCCUGGCUCAGAACGAACGCUGGCGGCAUGCCUAACACAUGCAAGUCGAACGAAGCCUUCGGGCUUAGUGGCGCACGGGUGCGUAACGCGUGGGAAUCUGCCCUUGGGUACGGAAUAACAGUGAGAAAUUACUGCUAAUACCGUAUGAUGUCUUCGGACCAAAGAUUUAUCGCCCAGGGAUGAGCCCGCGUAGGAUUAGCUAGUUGGUGAGGUAAAGGCUCACCAAGGCUACGAUCCUUAGCUGGUCUGAGAGGAUGAUCAGCCACACUGGGACUGAGACACGGCCCAGACUCCUACGGGAGGCAGCAGUGGGGAAUAUUGGACAAUGGGCGAAAGCCUGAUCCAGCAAUGCCGCGUGAGUGAAGAAGGCCUUCGGGUUGUAAAGCUCUUUUACCCGGGAAGAUAAUGACCGUACCGGGAGAAUAAGCCCCGGCUAACUCCGUGCCAGCAGCCGCGGUAAUACGGAGGGGGCUAGCGUUGUUCGGAAUCACUGGGCGUAAAGCGUGCGUAGGCGGCCAUUCAAGUCAGAGGUGAAAUCCCAGGG
rnacentral:rRNA from 1 species